rnacentral:rRNA from 1 species
UUGAAGAGUUUGAUCAUGGCUCAGAUUGAACGCUGGCGGCAGGCCUAACACAUGCAAGUCGAGCGGUAGCACAGAGAGCUUGCUCUCGGGUGACGAGCGGCGGACGGGUGAGUAAUGUCUGGGAAACUGCCUGAUGGAGGGGGAUAACUACUGGAAACGGUAGCUAAUACCGCAUAAUGUCGCAAGACCAAAGUGGGGGACCUUCGGGCCUCAUGCCAUCAGAUGUGCCCAGAUGGGAUUAGCUUGUAGGUGGGGUAACGGCUCACCUAGGCGACGAUCCCUAGCUGGUCUGAGAGGAUGACCAGCCACACUGGAACUGAGACACGGUCCAGACUCCUACGGGAGGCAGCAGUGGGGAAUAUUGCACAAUGGGCGCAAGCCUGAUGCAGCCAUGCCGCGUGUGUGAAGAAGGCCUUCGGGUUGUAAAGCACUUUCAGCGGGGAGGAAGGCGGUGAGGUUAAUAACCUCAUCGAUUGACGUUACCCGCAGAAGAAGCACCGGCUAACUCCGUGCCAGCAGCCGCGGUAAUACGGAGGGUGCAAGCGUUAAUCGGAAUUACUGGGCGUAAAGCGCACGCAGGCGGUCUGUCAAGUCGGAUGUGAAAUCCCCGGGCUCAACCUGGGAACUGCAUUCGAAACUGGCAGGCUAGAGUCUUGUAGAGGGGUAGAAUUCCGUGUAGCGGUGAAAUGCGUAGAGAUCUGGAGGAAUACCGGUGGCGAAGGCGGCCCCCUGGACAAAGACUGACGCUCAGGUGCGAAAGCGUGGGGAGCAAACAGGAUUAGAUACCCUGGUAGUCCACGCCGUAAACGAUGUCGAUUUGGAGGUUGUGCCCUUGAGGCGUGGCUUCCGGAGCUAACGCGUUAAAUCGACCGCCUGGGGAGUACGGCCGCAAGGUUAAAACUCAAAUGAAUUGACGGGGGGCCCGCACAAGCGGUGGAGCAUGUGGUUUAAUUCGAUGCAACGCGAAGAACCUUACCUGGUCUUGACAUCCACAGAACUUAGCAGAGAUGCUUUGGUGCCUUCGGGAACUGUGAGACAGGUGCUGCAUGGCUGUCGUCAGCUCGUGUUGUGAAAUGUUGGGUUAAGUCCCGCAACGAGCGCAACCCUUAUCCUUUGUUGCCAGCGGUCCGGCCGGGAACUCAAAGGAGACUGCCAGUGAUAAACUGGAGGAAGGUGGGGAUGACGUCAAGUCAUCAUGGCCCUUACGACCAGGGCUACACACGUGCUACAAUGGCAUAUACAAAGAGAAGCGACCUCGCGAGAGCAAGCGGACCUCAUAAAGUAUGUCGUAGUCCGGAUUGGAGUCUGCAACUCGACUCCAUGAAGUCGGAAUCGCUAGUAAUCGUAGAUCAGAAUGCUACGGUGAAUACGUUCCCGGGCCUUGUACACACCGCCCGUCACACCAUGGGAGUGGGUUGCAAAAGAAGUAGGUAGCUUAACCUUCGGGAGGGCGCUUACCACUUUGUGAUUCAUGACUGGGGUGAAGUCGUAACAAGGUAACCGUAGGGGAACCUGCGGUUGGAUCACCUCCUU